UACGUAGGGUGCGAGCGUUGUCCGGAAUUAUUGGGCGUAAAGAGCUUGUAGGCGGUUUGUCGCGUCUGCUGUGAAAAUCCGGGGCUCAACCCCGGACUUGCAGUGGGUACGGGCAGACUAGAGUGUGGUAGGGGAGACUGGAAUUCCUGGUGUAGCGGUGAAAUGCGCAGAUAUCUGGAGGAAUACCGGUGGCGAAGGCGGCAUCCUGGACCGACAUUGACGCUGAGGAGCGAAAGCUAGGGGAGCAAACGGG
rnacentral:rRNA from 1 species